ACGGAGGGUGCAAGCGUUAAUCGGAAUCACUGGGCGUAAAGCGCACGUAGGCUGUUAUGUAAGUCAGGGGUGAAAUCCCACGGCUCAACCGUGGAACUGCCCUUGAUACUGCACGACUUGAAUCCGGGAGAGGGUGGCGGAAUUCCAGGUGUAGGAGUGAAAUCCGUAGAUAUCUGGAGGAACAUCAGUGGCGAAGGCGGCCGCCUGGACCGGUAUUGACGCUGAGGUGCGAAAGCGUGGGGAGCAAACAG
rnacentral:rRNA from 1 species